AACUUAGUUAAGAAAGCCCUUACUACUAGCCAACUAAUUUGCUGCUUUCUUAACUAAGUUGGCUACUUUACUACUAGCCAAUCAAUUUGCUGCUUUCUUAACUAAGUUGGCUACUUUACUACUAGCCAAUCAAUUUGCUGUUUUCUUAACUAUAUUGGAUAUUUUACUACUAGCUAAUCAAUUGCU